UAGGGAAUCUUCCGCAAUGGGCGAAAGCCUGACGGAGCAACGCCGCGUGAGUGAUGAAGGUCUUCGGAUCGUAAAACUCUGUUAUUAGGGAAGAACAAAUGUGUAAGUAACUAUGCACGUCUUGACGGUACCUAAUCAGAAAGCCACGGCUAACUACGUGCCAGCAGCCGCGGUAAUACGUAGGUGGCAAGCGUUAUCCGGAAUUAUUGGGCGUAAAGCGCGCGUAGGCGGUUUUUUAAGUCUGAUGUGAAAGCCCACGGCUCAACCGUGGAGGGUUAUUGGAAACUGGAAAACUAGAGUGCAGAAGAGGAAAGUGGAAUUCCAUGUGUAGCGGUGAAAUGCGCAGAGAUAUGGAGGAACACCAGUGGCGAAGGCGACUUUCUGGUCUGUAACUGACGCUGAUGUGCGAAAGCGUGGGGAUCAAACAGG
rnacentral:rRNA from 1 species